UACGUAGGGUGCAAGCGUUAAUCGGAAUUACUGGGCGUAAAGCGUGCGCAGGCGGUUGUGCAAGACCGAUGUGAAAUCCCCGGGCUUAACCUGGGGAUGGCAUUGGUGACUGCACGGCUAGAGUGUGUCAGAGGGGGGGUAGAAUUCCACGUGUAGCAGUGAAAUGCGUAGAGAUGUGGAGGAAUACCGAUGGCGAAGGCAGCCCCCCUGGGAUAACACUGACGCUCAUGCACGAAAGCGUGGGGAGCAAACAGG
rnacentral:rRNA from 1 species